GUUUGCUAACGGUCUGUCUGUGUGUGGUAGAGUGAUAUGUAUAACCAAGAGUGCGGAACAUAAAGCAGUCAUAGGUGAUCGUUUAUGCGGCGUGAUUGGCAGCUGGAGGCGGAAGCGGCGGGGGUGCGGAAUAAUUGGAACUUCAAUACCCACAAUCACUAUAGACUGCACACCGCCCUCCUCACCGGCUGCAGCCAAUCAGCGGCCUCAAAUGCUGCGAUUGGACCGUUGCAGCCUUUGAUGUCAAGGGCCAACGUGGGUCGCUGACAGUUUGAUUGGCUAGAACGGAAAAGUCGCCAUAGCCAAUCGGAGAAGCGCUGGAGAGUGGCCGACAGCCGCGAAGUUUUAAGGUGGUCUGGAAAAAGAUCUUAUGCCAAACCUGUUAACCCCUUACCUGGACACCAUUAUGCAGAAGCCCAACCAGUUCAGGGCAGAUUAUUGUCUCGUCGGUCAUUUCCAUGAUGUCUGUUCGUACUCAACCAGCUUCAUAACUUAUCAGUAAGAGGCUGAAGGGAGAGAGUCGUGUGAAUAAAUACUUGUCUAAUCCAUGCAAUUAGAUAACAGCGAUUAGGGCAAACCCUGACCGGAGAGGUGUCGCAGACAGAGGGAUGACU